CCUACGGGCGGCAGCAGUGAGGAAUAUUGGUCAAUGGGCGGAAGCCUGAACCAGCCAAGUAGCGUGCAGGAUGACGGCCCUACGGGUUGUAAACUGCUUUUAUACCGGGGUAACAUGCUCUACGAGUAGGGUUUUGAAAGUACGGUACGCAUAAGGAUCGGCUAACUCCGUGCCAGCAGCCGCGGUAAUACGGAGGAUCCGCGCGUUAUCCGGAUUCAUUGGGUGUAAAGGGUGCUUAGGUUGUUUUAUAAGUUAGCGGUGAAAUACCGAUGCUCAACAUCGGGGCUGCCGCUGAUACUGUAGGACUAGAGAUCGGAUGCAGCAGGCGGAAUGUGUAGUGUAGCGGUGAAAUGCAUAGAUAUUACACAGAACACCGAUGGCGAAGGCAGCUUGCUAGGCCGGAUCUGACACUGAUGCACGAAAGCGUGGGGAUCGAACAGGAUUAGAUACCCCAGUAGUC
rnacentral:rRNA from 1 species